rnacentral:rRNA from 1 species
UACGAAGGGGGCUAGCGUUGCUCGGAAUUACUGGGCGUAAAGCGCACGUAGGCGGAUUGUUAAGUCGGGGGUGAAAUCCUGGAGCUCAACUCCAGAACUGCCUUCGAUACUGGCGAUCUCGAGUUCGGGAGAGGUGAGUGGAACUGCGAGUGUAGAGGUGAAAUUCGUAGAUAUUCGCAAGAACACCAGUGGCGAAGGCGGCGACCUGGGUUGACAUUGACGCUGAGGCGCGAAAGCGUGGGUAGCGAACAGG